CUGUCUAAGGGGCGAAUUAAUGGGCGAGGGAGCGGCCGACCUGUGAUCCCCUGGCUCUUCGCCCAGUGCCUCAGGCCCCAUGCGACUUGCUGGGGUUCUGUCUUUUGUCAUGCGACCCCUUUGGCCAUCAGGGUUCUGAGUAGGUGCUGGCUCAGCAAUCCGAAGGUCAACCCUGUUAUGACGGUACAGUGAUCCAUUCACUUCGACCAAGUAGGAGCGUGGUGCCACUUUCUGUACACAGGAUCCGAGUCUCCAGAGGCCUGUCCGGUCCCCUGGUAGUGGCUUCAUUCACACCGUUCCACCCACCCUGAGCUCAGCGGAUGUUGCACGAGUGGAACCCCUAGCACUAACAACUUUAAGUUCCUUGCUCAGAACAUGAGAAGAACACAUGAAAUCUGGUGGUUCCGGUUAACAUGAGUCUUCAAUAUUCCCAGGUACAGACCUCUCCUGCUGACUUGUCAGUGAUGAGUGUCUCUCCACAGCCUUUCCAGAUCAUCUCCACUGAGCCCUCCGCCACACAGCAACGAAUACAGGUAACAAUAUCCUACAUUAGUGACUUCUGCUUGAAGCAAACUGCCACUUAUUGAUAGCAUACACACACUGCACCCUAAUGACAACUUAUAAUGUACACAGAUUCCAAAUCCCACUUAUACUAUUUGAAUAUGGCUUAAGUUAUAAGGGAGAGUUUGGGAUUUUGGAAAUGAGUCCCUUUUAUAGUUGCAAAGGGUCAUAACUUCCCGGUAAAUUUCCGAAAUUUUUCUGGAACUUUUCCAUGAGAAGUUGAGCCUGGGAAUUUUACAUAAAUUCAACAAAGUUAUUACAGUGAAUUUUUUUGUGGGAUACACAAAGGCAAUUCUAGGUCUUCUGGCAUAUUUUGGUUAAACUAUCCCCAAUUCAAUGGAAUUGCAACCCUCUGCAUGCACAGUGCAUUCUUCCAUCACAUGUACAGCU